GAAAAGAAAAUUAUACGAAUUCUAGGUUUAUAAAUAUAAAAAUUAAAAAAAUAAACCCCAAAAGGCCACAGACCCAGGGCUAAGCCCUGCAGCCAAGACUAGCAGGCCAUAAAGAUAAAGGAACACAGGAAACACUGUUCAGGCAGGACUGACAAGCCAUAAAAAAAAGGAAUGCAGGAACCAGCCUGAGUUAAUGGGACUGAUUCAUGGGACGUCUGGCAGGAAGACAUCCCCCCCCCAGCUCACUCAGGGCCAUCCUCCAGACCCUGAUAAGCCCCUACUUGUGCUUUUCAGCCAUUGUGUCCUACAGAGAGCAUUCCAAGAAACCGGACAGCCCAAGCCUAACCAGAGGUGUUUCAAAUACAAAUGCUCCAUCAAUUUUGACAAACUUUUAAAAAUAAUGAGGACCUAAAGACCCUACCCUUCUCCUGAUUUAGUAGCUCUGUUCCAGGAACCAGGGGGCCAUAAAACCUUCUGGCGUCCCCUUAUCUCCUGGAGCCAUAAAACAAUCUUGUAACUUGUGGUACAUUCCCCUUUGACAUCCCCCAUCCCCUGGUGCUCACAGCCUCUGCCUUUAAAUACUCUUUUUCCCAGCCUCUCGGGGCCGACACCUCUGUCUCCUGCGCGGGAUACGUGUCGGCCCGGAGAUCUCUGUAAUAGGUCUCCGUAAUAAACCUCGCCUUUGCUUAUUACAUCCAAAAUGGUCUCUCUGUGUCUGGGGUCCGCGAUUUCCCAAGACUUGAGUAAGGGUCUCUCUGCGUGGGAUCUUUCAUAUUUAUGGGGGCUCGUCCGGGAUCUGUGCGACUACCCCAGACUCCGAAGACCCCUUGGAGGUGAGUUAGAUGUUUGUCUGAGUGUUUUUGUGUGAGCGGCGCCGCAAUUGUCAGUCUGUGUCUGUCUCUGUUUUGGUUCCGCCGUGUGUGUAUAUAUGUGUGUCUUAGUACUGGUCAGUGUUAAGAGGGCAGAUGGGUAUUCCUGCCCUGUGUUAAGAGGGCAGAUGGGUGUUCCUGCCUUGUGCUAAGAGGGUGGAUGUGUAUUCCUGCCCUGUGCUAGGAGGGUGGAUGUGUAUUCCUGCCCUGUAGGAGAGUGGAUGUGUAUCCCCACUCAGUGCAGCUGCCUUUGUGGUCCGUGAGGACCCCCUGGCUGCGGAAGGGGGGACGCCCCGGGCCCGCAAGGCUGCAGCCCCUGGAAGACGUUCCACGGGCGGAGAACAGUCGGGAGAGCCCGGCUAUGGACAGUCAGGAGGACCUGACUCUGGUUUUCUGGAACAAAGGAGAUGGAAUGCUCCUUUUACCUAGGCGGGAGUGGACGAGGAAUCCCACUCCGUCAGAGGUCGAGUUCGGCUGCCUAUUUAAAUAUAGGCACGGACAAGUGUGCUUGGUCGUUAGGACAAGAGGACACUCUGGAAUCCUGUUGGGAGGUGGAAUCAGAUGGUCCAUCUCAUCCCAAAAACAGCUAAGGUUAAGCUGCAGUUUGGGCCACGUACUGAAGGUACCAGGCAUCUGUGAAAGUUGGUUAUAAGAUGCUUUGUCUUGAUAUUGUUUGUCUGGCUUGUUUUCUGUGGUAUUGUCGAGUGUCUUUUUGGCUUUUGUUUCGUUUUUAAAUUUUGGACUGACGACUGUGUUUGAAUUUGGACUGACGACUGUGUUUAAAAUCUUGGACUGAUGACUGUGUUUGAAAUCAUGAAACUGUUUGCUUUGUUCGUCAUAGAGUUUUACUUGGUCCUCUUGGUGCUUAAGUUAAGAGUUAAAAAUAAUUUGCUUGAGAAAAAUUGUUUUCUGCCAGGGAGUUUUGUCUUUCUCUCUUGAGCCUCCUCCCCAAGGAGAGAGGCCCCUCCCUUUACUCCCCUUGAUCAGCCUAGCUGCUGUUAACAGUUGUGUAAACAGACAUUAACAAAAACCUUGAGGACAAAACCUCUCCUAAAUAAAAAAGUUCCCCAGAUUAGGCCUCCGGUAUAAAACAAGUAUAGUGAGUAAGAAACUUAAUUUUAUAGACCCCGCUCUAGUGGCGGUGUGUUGGUUGAUAGCCAACGUUAAGUUUUUAAAACAUAGUGUUUUAUCUGUGCUUGUGCUCGCAACACACAGUAGGGGGGAGCGAAAUUAGCUGCGGAGCUGCUACAGCGAGCAUGGGGACUUCUCAAGUCUCACCCAAUUUUUCUGGCUCUUCAGGAGCUGUUUAAAAGAAAAAGGUUUAGGAUAAAAAGAAACACUACAAAGAGAUUUCUUAGUGAAUUGCUACACCUUGGUUUGCGAUCUCUGAGAAUCUCACGGUGGACAGCUGAGAUAAGCUGAAAAAGGAUUUAAAUUUUGCUUGAGAGCAAGGAAUCUUAAAGGCGGAGUUUCAGCCGGUAUGACACUUAGUGCUUAGCUGCCUAAAAGAUCAGAAAUGCUGUCAACAGGCUAUAAAAAAGGGACAGGCUGUGUUAAAAAUGCUACAUAAAGAAUAAUCUAAAAAGGCUGAGAGUGAGGUGGGGGAGGACUCUAAAAAAACAAGAACAAGAAAGGAAUUUCUGCUUUUAGUGACCAGACCUUCAACUCUUGCUCACAGAAAGAGGGUGCUCAUUAAGAGAAGUUCUUUAAGGAGCCUGCCUUAUCUGCUGGCCCUAUUCCAAGAGAGGAGCCAGUCUCCAGCAUUAAAUUACUUUUCUCACUGGUCAUCAUUAACAUGGAGAAUGCCUUUGAUCCUAUCCCCACAGCAGCCAGUUCCUGCCCCUGUGGUCGAAAUGUCCCAGGUUGGGGGGCAGAGAAGCCCCUAAAAUAGUUUAAAAAAAUCUACAACAAACUAUAAAGAACUUUGUUUUGUUUAGCCAAUCAAAAUUUAAAAUUCAGGCUUUGGCUGUGGCCAAGGUCAGGAUUAAUGUUUUCUUUUCCAUGGGCCUUUAGCCCACUGAGAAAGUUUGGUAAAGGGCUGCUACUGAGGUCCUGAAAGCCCCAGGUAAACUGGUUACAAUUCUUUUGUCAGCUGCUUAGUAUCUAACACCCAGGUUCUAAUCGUCUCUCCACCCUUUUGUUAUUAGUUCUUACUGGAAGCCUAGUGCCAUUUAGAGGAUGGGUCUCUUGAGCGAUAAAGCCACUGAGCUGGCACUAAAAGAAGGUACUCCUUAAGAGAAAAUCUAAGUCAAGAGAGACAGCCGGUAACAGAUAGGCUGCCCCUCUGCUCACUUUUCUGUUUCACAGACACAAGGUGUUUUUGUCCCAAGAAAGCCUCCUGGCUUAGCUGUGUGACUAAAUGCUAUUUGCCCUCUUCAGUGGACCUCUAUUCUCGAGAUUCCCUUGUUUUCUCACCAUCCCAUUUGAGAUGCUUGUUAGUAACUGUUACAGGUCUUCUUUACCACCAAGGAAAGACAGAAUCCUACUAGAGGCCAGAAAAAGUGUUCCAGAGAUGGAUGGAAGGCCCUCACUUCUGCCUGCUCUCUUCAGACGCCUAAAGACAGGAACAGUUCUCUUCAUGAAUGAAGGUCAGAGACAAGUGGGUGCUGCCAUGGUGGACAACACAGUGUCAUCUAGAAUGGCUGAACCCCAACCCCCAGCACAUCAGCACCACAGAUGCCUUUGCCAUCUCUUAGAUGCCCUGAUGAAGCCAACAACUGUGAGUACUAUUCAUUGCUCAGGAUAUCAGGAGGAAAGAGAUUCAGUGACAUGGGACAGUAACAAAGCAGAUAAAGUGGCUCAAGAAAUGGCUAUGCAGGAGCCUAUCCUGGUUAUAGGCCUACAAGAGACAGCCACUGGGAACUGAGAUUAGACUAAGGGAUGACCUCACUUAGAAUGUACAACAGAAAAAAAGGCCCAAGUUGUUUAAAAGAUAAAAGGACAAUGACACACUUGGGGAGAAAGCUAUACCCCCCAGAGAACAAACAAAAGACUCACUUUGCCAAAUUAAAAAAUGGACUCAUUUAAGAGAUAAAAAAUUUGUCCAAAUAGUUAAGUGUAUAUAAUAGACUUUAAGAUUUUAGCCAGAGAGACAAUAAAAAAUAUAAGAUAUGUCAGUAAACAAAUGCUUAACAAACAAACAGGACAAAGAGACCUAGAGAGUUUAACGAAAAGUUGAAGUGAACUUCACUGAGAUAAAACCAGAAAAAUAUAAUCACAAGUAUCUCCUAGUGCUUGUAGAUACUUUUUCAGGAAUAGAUAGAAGCUUUCCUCACCAAACGAGAGACGGCCUCUACAAUCAUCAAGAAGAUACUGAAAGAAAUCUUCCCCAGGUCUGGAAUGCCCAAGGUAAUCUGGUCAGACAACGGUCCUACUUUCGUUGCCAAGGUAAGCCAGGGUGUGGCCAAAUAUUUAGAGGUCGAUUAGAAAUUACAUUGUAUUUACAGACCUCAAAGCUUAAGACAGGUAGAAUAAAUAAAUAGAACUCUAAAAGAGACCCUGACCAAAUUGACCAUGGAGACUGGCACAGACUGGGUGACACUCCUUCCCUCUUGCUCUCUUCAGAGCAAGAAAUACCCCUUCCAGACUCAGCUUUACCCCCUUUGAGAUCUUAUAUGGGGCCUCAGCUCCCCUGACUGUAUUAGAUGAUGUUACUGAACCAACAUGUCAUAGUAAUAAUGAUUUGUGUGCCAGGCUAAAAGACCUACAGGUGAUACAGAAAGAAAUCUGCUCACAGCUGACAGCAGCCUAUGCCCCGGAGACCCCUGAGACAUCCCAUCAGUUCCAGGUCGGAAACAGCUACACUGAGCCCAGACACUCGAGCCUCGCUGGAAAGGACCGUACCUGGUGCUGCUGACCACCCUGACAGCCGUCAAUUCUCAGCCCUCACCAGCCGUGUACUAGCUGUUAGGGCUGAGAGCUGGGACCUAGAGGGAAAUUCAGUCAUGUUUGUCCUGGGUUCCAUCGAGAUAGGUGUGGGGAUAGGCUUGAUUUCUAUUACAAAUGAUGUAACAUUACAUAUGUUAAUACUCCUAACACUUCUUGGGACUGUGCCUCAGGGAUCACUACCUAUAUAAGUUUAGAAGUUCUGAAAGACAGUCAUGACCUUGGUGUAUAGGUUUAGAUAGUGUCCAGAUAGAAUCCUGAUGCCAAAGACUUUUUAGCUGACCUCCAAGAAUACCUAACCUCCCUCUCAGAGGUAGUCCUUCAAAAUAAGAAAAGAUUAGACCUGAUAUUCCUUAAAGAAGGAGUCUGUGUACUAUACUGAAAGAAAAAUGUUGCUUCUAUACAGACCAUUCAGGAGUAAUUAAAGACUCCAUAAAUAAACUUAGAGAAAGGUUAGACAAAAGACAGACAGAAAAACACAUCAGAGAUGGUUCGAGAGCUAGUUUAGUAGAUCUCCCUAGAUGACUACCCUACUCUCUGCUACAGCUGGGCCAUUAUUAAUAAUUUUCUUGGUUUUAGUUUUUGGCUCCUGCGUGACAAACAAGUUAAUUGCUUUUGUUAAAAAUCGAGUGGGUGCUGUGCGGUUGAUGUCCUGAGACAACAGUACCAGUCAGUUAAGACAACUGGUGAGACCAAAUACGAGACUUGAUAUCAAAAUUCUAAGAUUAGAAUUAUUUAGUAGGAGAAGACGGGAAUGAAAAGAAAAUUAUACGAAUUCUAGGUUUAUAAAUAUAAAAAUUAAAAAAAUAAACCCCAAAAGGCCACAGACCCAGGGCUAAGCCCUGCAGCCAAGACUAGCAGGCCAUAAAGAUAAAGGAACACAGGAAACACUGUUCAGGCAGGACUGACAAGCCAUAAAAAAAAGGAAUGCAGGAACCAGCCUGAGUUAAUGGGACUGAUUCAUGGGACGUCUGGCAGGAAGACAUCCCCCCCCCAGCUCACUCAGGGCCAUCCUCCAGACCCUGAUAAGCCCCUACUUGUGCUUUUCAGCCAUUGUGUCCUACAGAGAGCAUUCCAAGAAACCGGACAGCCCAAGCCUAACCAGAGGUGUUUCAAAUACAAAUGCUCCAUCAAUUUUGACAAACUUUUAAAAAUAAUGAGGACCUAAAGACCCUACCCUUCUCCUGAUUUAGUAGCUCUGUUCCAGGAACCAGGGGGCCAUAAAACCUUCUGGCGUCCCCUUAUCUCCUGGAGCCAUAAAACAAUCUUGUAACUUGUGGUACAUUCCCCUUUGACAUCCCCCAUCCCCUGGUGCUCACAGCCUCUGCCUUUAAAUACUCUUUUUCCCAGCCUCUCGGGGCCGACACCUCUGUCUCCUGCGCGGGAUACGUGUCGGCCCGGAGAUCUCUGUAAUAGGUCUCCGUAAUAAACCUCGCCUUUGCUUAUUACAUCCAAAA